rnacentral:rRNA from 1 species
AGAGUUUGAUCCUGGCUCAGGAUGAACGCUGGCGGCGUGCCUAAUACAUGCAAGUCGAACGAGGUGCUUUGUAGCAAUACGAGAGUAUCCUAGUGGCGAACGGGUGAGUAACGCGUUGGUGACCUACCCCAAAGUGUGGGAUAACAGUCCGAAAGGAUUGCUAAUACCGCAUGUGGUCUUCGGGUUUAGAAACUGAUGACUAAAGGAGCAAUUCGCUUUGGGAGGGACCUGCGUCCCAUCAGCUAGUUGGUGAGGUAAUGGCUCACCAAGGCUACGACGGGUAGGGGACCUGAGAGGGUGACCCCCCACAAUGGAACUGAAACACGGUCCAUACACCUACGGGUGGCAGCAGUAGGGAAUAUUGCACAAUGGGCGAAAGCCUGAUGCAGCAACGCCGCGUGUGCGAUGAAGGCCUUCGGGUCGUAAAGCACUUUUCUGGGAGAUGAGCAAGGACAGUAUCUCAGGAAUAAGUCUCGGCUAACUACGUG